GUAAAAAAUUUAUAAGAAUAUGAUGUUGGUUCAGAUUAAGCGCUAAAUAAGGACAUGACACAUGCGAAUCAUACGUUUAUUAUUGAUAAGAUAAUAAAUAUGUGGUGUAAACGUGAGUAAUUUUAUUAGGAAUUAAUGAACUAUAGAAUAAGCUAAAUACUUAAUAUAUUAUUAUAAAAAAAUAAUUUAUAUAAUAAAAAGGAUAUAUAUAUAAUAUAUAUUUAUCUAUAGUCAAGCCAAUAAUGGUUUAGGUAGUAGGUUUAUUAAGAGUUAAACCUAGCCAACGAUCCAUAAUCGAUAAUGAAAGUUAGAACGAUCACGUUGACUCUGAAAUAUAGUCAAUAUCUAUAAGAUACAGCAGUGAGGAAUAUUGGACAAUGAUCGAAAGAUUGAUCCAGUUACUUAUUAGGAUGAUAUAUAAAAAUAUUUUAUUUUAUUUAUAAAUAUUAAAUAUUUAUAAUAAUAAUAAUAAUAUAUAUAUAUAAAUUGAUUAAAAAUAAAAUCCAUAAAUAAUUAAAAUAAUGAUAUUAAUUACCAUAUAUAUUUUUAUAUGGAUAUAUAUAUUAAUAAUAAAAUUAAUUUAUUAUUAUUAAUAAUAUAUUUUAAUAGUCCUGACUAAUAUUUGUGCCAGCAGUCGCGGUAACACAAAGAGGGCGAGCGUUAAUCAUAAUGGUUUAAAGGAUCCGUAGAAUGAAUUAUAUAUUAUAAUUUAGAGUUAAUAAAAUAUAAUUAAAGAAUUAUAAUAGUAAAGAUGAAAUAAUAAUAAUAAUUAUAAGACUAAUAUAUGUGAAAAUAUUAAUUAAAUAUUAACUGACAUUGAGGGAUUAAAACUAGAGUAGCGAAACGGAUUCGAUACCCGUGUAGUUCUAGUAGUAAACUAUGAAUACAAUUAUUUAUAAUAUAUAUUAUAUAUAAAUAAUAAAUGAAAAUGAAAGUAUUCCACCUGAAGAGUACGUUAGCAAUAAUGAAACUCAAAACAAUAGACGGUUACAGACUUAAGCAGUGGAGCAUGUUAUUUAAUUCGAUAAUCCACGACUAACCUUACCAUAUUUUGAAUAUUAUAAUAAUUAUUAUAAUUAUUAUAUUACAGGCGUUACAUUGUUGUCUUUAGUUCGUGCUGCAAAGUUUUAGAUUAAGUUCAUAAACGAACAAAACUCCAUAUAUAUAAUUUUAAUUAUAUAUAAUUUUAUAUUAUUUAUUAAUAUAAAGAAAGGAAUUAAGACAAAUCAUAAUGAUCCUUAUAAUAUGGGUAAUAGACGUGCUAUAAUAAAAUGAUAAUAAAAUUAUAUAAAAUAUAUUUAAUUAUAUUUAAUUAAUAAUAUAAAACAUUUUAAUUUUUAAUAUAUUUUUUUAUUAUAUAUUAAUAUGAAUUAUAAUCUGAAAUUCGAUUAUAUGAAAAAAGAAUUGCUAGUAAUACGUAAAUUAGUAUGUUACGGUGAAUAUUCUAACUGUUUCGCACUAAUCACUCAUCACGCGUUGAAACAUAUUAUUAUCUUAUUAUUUAUAUAAUAUUUUUUAAUAAUUAUUAAUAUUAUUAAUUUUUAUUUAUUUAUAUCAGAAAUAAUAUGAAUUAAUGCGAAGUUGAAAUACAGUUACCGUAGGGGAACCUGCGGUGGGCUUAUAAAUAUCUUAAAUAUUCUUACA
rnacentral:ncRNA from 1 species